AUUAAAAGCCAACGCCCUUCGGGGCUUCCUGGUGAUUCAUAAUAACUUUUCGAAUCGCAUGGCCUUGCGCCGGCGAUGGUUCAUUCAAAUUUCUUCCCUAUCAACUUUCGAUGCGAAGGUCUUGUCUUCGCAUGGUUGCAACGGGUAACGGAGGGUUAGGGCUCGACCCCGGAGAAGGAGCCUGAGAAACGGCUACUACAUCCAAGGAAGGCAGCAGGCGCGCAAAUUACCCAAUCCCGACACGGGGAGGUAGUGACAAUAAAUACUGAUACAGGGCUCUUUUGGGUCUUGUAAUCGGAAUGAGUACAAUUUAAAUCUCUUAACGAGGAACAAUUGGAGGGCAAGUCUGGUGCCAGCAGCCGCGGUAAUUCCAGCUCCAAUAGCGUAUAUUAAAGUUGUUGUGGUUAAAAAGCUCGUAGUUGAACCUUGGGCCUGGCUGGCCGGUCCCCCUCACCGGGUGCACUGAUCCAGCCGGGCCUUUCCCUCUGUGGAACCCCAUGGCCUUCACUGGC
rnacentral:rRNA from 1 species